UACGUAGGGUGCAAGCGUUGUCCGGAAUUAUUGGGCGUAGAGAGCUCGUAGGCGGUUUGUCGCGUCUGCUGUGAAAUCCCGAGGCUCAACCUCGGGCCUGCAGUGGGUACGGGCAGACUAGAGUGCGGUAGGGGAGAUUGGAACUCCUGGUGUAGCGGUGGAAUGCGCAGAUAUCAGGAAGAACACCGAUGGCGAAGGCAGAUCUCUGGGCCGUAACUGACGCUGAGGAGCGAAAGCAUGGGGAGCGAACAGG
rnacentral:rRNA from 1 species